rnacentral:tRNA from 1 species
AGGGGCUUAGUUUAAUUAUAGAACAGCGGUCUGUAAAACUGAAGGUUGAUUGCCCUUG